rnacentral:tRNA from 1 species
GGCCUUGUAUUCAAUAGUGAUAUUAAACUGCAAAUUUAAAGGUGGGUCAGCCCUAAGGCCU